rnacentral:rRNA from 1 species
UACGUAGGAGGCGAGCGUUGUCCGGAAUCACUGGGCGUAAAGCGCGUGUAGGCGGGAAGGCAAGUCUGCUGUGAAAGCGCCUGGCUUAACCGGGCGAGGUCGGCGGAAACUGCUUACCUGGAGGACGGUAGAGGGGGGUGGAAUUCCCGGUGUAGUGGUGAAAUGCGUAGAGAUCGGGAGGAACACCUGUGGCGAAGGCGGCAUCCUGGACCGGCAUUGACGCUGAGUGAGCGAAAGCCAGGGGAGCAAACGGG